AACGAACGCUGGCGGCAUGCCUAACACAUGCAAGUCGAACGAGACCUUCGGGUCUAGGGGCGCACGGGUGCGUAACGCGUGGGAACCUGCCCUUAGGUUCGGAAUCACUCCCCGAAAGGGGUGCUAAUACCGGACAAUGUCUUCGGACCAAAGAUUUAUCGCCGUUGGAUGGGCCCGCGUUGGAUUAGCUAGUUGGUAGGGUAAAAGCCUACCAAGGCGACGAUCCAUAGCUGGUCUGAGAGGAUGAUCAGCCACACUGGGACUGAGACACGGCCCAGACUCCUACGGGAGGCAGCAGUGGGGAAUAUUGGACAAUGGGCGAAAGCCUGAUCCAGCAAUGCCGCGUGAGUGAUGAAGGCCUUAGGGUUGUAAAGCUCUUUUACCCGGGAUGAUAAUGACAGUACCGGGAGAAUAAGCUCCGGCUAACUCCGUG
rnacentral:rRNA from 1 species